UGCCUAUUGGCCCAGUGGUUAAGGCGUCUGACUGUUACUUUAUGUAUAAAGCAAUCCGCGACAUCAGAAGAUCCCUGGUUCGACCCCAGGAUGGGCAG
rnacentral:tRNA from 1 species